GCCCUCGUAGAUUAGCGGUAGAUCCUCCACCUAUAAUAGGAUGUGAAAGACAAUGAAAGGUGAAUAACGCGGGUUCGACUCCCACCGAGGGAG